AACGCGAAGAACCUUACCAAGGCUUGACAUAUACCGAAAACUCAUGGAGACAUGGGGUCCGCAAGGGCGGUAUACAGGUGGUGCAUGGUUGUCGUCAGCUCGUGUCGUGAGAUGUUGGGUUAAGUCCCGCAACGAGCGCAACCCUCGUCCUAUGUUGCCAGCACAUCAUGGUGGGGACUCAUAGGAGACUGCCGGGGUCAACUCGGAGGAAGGUGGGGAUGACGUCAAAUCAUCAUGCCCCUUAUGUCUUGGGCUUCACGCAUGCUACAAUGGCCGGUACAAAGGGCUGCGAUACCGCAAGGUGGAGCGAAUCCCAAAAAGCCGGUCUCAGUUCGGAUUGGGGUCUGCAACUCGACCCCAUGAAGUCGGAGUCGCUAGUAAUCGCAGAUCAGCAACGCUGCGGUGAAUACGUUCUCGGGCCUUGUACACACCG
rnacentral:rRNA from 1 species